AAGUCGUAACAAGGUUUCCGUAGGUGAACCUGCGGAAGGAUCAUUACCAAAUCCAAAACUCUUUAUAAACCCACUUGUGUGAAGUAACGAAAGAAAAAGAAACUUUUUUUUUCUGAACCAACAAGGAAUCUUUUUGUUUAAGCAAGAAAUUAUAAAACUUUUAGAGAAAAGAGAAAAACAACUUUUAACGGUGGAUCUCUUGGCUCGU
rnacentral:misc_RNA from 1 species